rnacentral:tRNA from 1 species
GGGCGAGUAGCUCAGUUGGUUAGAGCGCCUGCCUUACAAGCAGGAGGUCGCUGGUUCGAUCCCAGUCUUGCCCA